AUCUUUAUUAAUCAAUUGAUAAAAUGGACUUGCUGUUCUUUUGCUCUCUAUUUAUUCAGGGUUAAGAUGUUGUUGCUAGUUAAGGUUAAAAUUUUAGAUUUUUGUCAUAAUUACAAUACGUUGAAUACUGUAAAUUGCUUUGAAGAAUAUGGAAAAAAUAAGCUUGUAAGCUUUACAUACAUAAACCAAUUUUUUUUUUUUAAAUUGU
rnacentral:misc_RNA from 1 species